GACGAACGCUGGCGGCGCGCCUAACACAUGCAAGUCGAACGGAGUUUCCCCUUCGGGGGGAGCUUAGUGGCGGACGGGUGAGUAACACGUGAGGAACCUGCCUUUGAGAGCGGGAUACCGUCUGGAAACGGACGUUAAUACCGCAUAAUGCAGCGAGGCCACAUGGCCAUGCUGCCAAAGAUUUAUCGCUCAAAGAUGGCCUCGCGCCUGAUUAGAUAGUUGGCGGGGUAACGGCCCACCAAGUCUGCGAUCAGUAGCCGGACUGAGAGGUCGAACGGCCACAUUGGGACUGAGAUACGGCCCAGACUCCUACGGGAGGCAGCAGUGGGGGAUAUUGCACAAUGGGCGAAAGCCUGAUGCAGCGACGCCGCGUGAGGGAAGACGGUUUUCGGAUUGUAAACCUCUGUCUUCGGGGACGAAACAAGACGGUACCCGAGGAGGAAGCCACGGCUAACUACGUGCCAGCAGCCGCGGUAAGACGUAGCGUG
rnacentral:rRNA from 1 species